rnacentral:rRNA from 1 species
AUUGAACGCUGGCGGAAUGCUUUACACAUGCAAGUCGAACGGCAGCACGGGGGCAGCCCUGGUGGCGAGUGGCGAACGGGUGAGUAAUACAUCGGAACGUGCCCGGUCGUGGGGGAUAACGUAGCGAAAGUUACGCUAAUACCGCAUACGAUCUGAGGACGAAAGCGGGGGACCUUCGGGCCUCGCGCGAUCGGAGCGGCCGAUGUCAGAUUAGGUAGUUGGUGGGGUAAAGGCCUACCAAGCCGACGAUCUGUAGCUGGUCUGAGAGGACGACCAGCCACACUGGGACUGAGACACGGCCCAGACUCCUACGGGAGGCAGCAGUGGGGAAUUUUGGACAAUGGGCGCAAGCCUGAUCCAGCCAUUCCGCGUGCAGGACGAAGGCCUUCGGGUUGUAAACUGCUUUUGUACGGAACGAAAAGGCUCUGGCUAAUACCUGGGGCUCAUGACGGUACCGUAAGAAUAAGCACCGGCUAACUACGUG